ensembl:ncRNA T05B11.9 ncRNA
CACAACACAACACCUAGCAAGAAUCAGAAGCGAACGGAUACGCUAUUAAGAAAGACGAACAUGGGGCGGUAAAACAGUUCAUCUUCUUUUUUUACUUAUCACAAGAAAGGGAUUAUCGGAAAUCGGAGCUCAAAUGGAUUGAUUAGAACAGGGGAUUGAAUUGAAAAAAAUUUGAAGGGCGACACAAAAUGAUGGUGGUGGCUGGAGGGAGGG